GCCUGGGUAGCUCAGUGGUAGAGCAGUGGCCUGAAGAGCCACGUGUCGAGUGUUCAAUUCACUCCCCAGGCA
rnacentral:tRNA from 1 species